UAUCUGGUUGAUUCUGCCAGUAGUCAUAUGCUUGUCUCAAAGAUUAAGCCAUGCAUGUCUAAGUAUAAGCACUUUAUACUGUGAAACUGCGAAUGGCUCAUUAAAUCAGUUAUCGUUUAUUUGAUAGUACCUUACUACAUGGAUACCUGUGGUAAUUCUAGAGCUAAUACAUGCUAAAACCUCGACUUCGGAAGGGGUGUAUUUAUUAGAUAAAAACCAAUGCCCUUCGGGCUCCUUGGUGAUUCAUAAUAACUUAACGAAUCGCAUGGCCUUGCGCCGGCGAUGGUUCAUUCAAUUUCUGCCCUAUCAACUUUCGAUGGUAGGAUAGUGGCCUACCAUGGUGGCAACGGGUAACGGGGAAUUAGGGUUCGAUUCCGGAGAGGGAGCCUGAGAAACGGCUACCACAUCCAAGGAAGGCAGCAGGCGCGCAAAUUACCCAAUCCCGACACGGGGAGGUAGUGACAAUAAUACUGAUACGGGCUCUUUUGGGUCUCGUAAUUGGAAUGAGUACAUCUAAAUCCUUAACGAGGAACAAUUGGAGGGCAAGUCUGGUGCCAGCAGCCGCGGUAAUUCCAGCUCCAAUAGCGUAUAUUAAAGUUGUUGCAGUUAAAAGCUCGUAGUUGAACCUUGGGUCUGGCUGGCCGGUCCGCCUCACCGCGAGUACGGUCCGGCUGGACCUUUCCUUCUGGGAACCUCAUGCCUUCACUGCUGUGGGGGGAACCAGGACUUUUACUGUGAAAAAAUUAGAGUGUUCAAAGCAGGCCUUUGCUCGAAUACAUUAGCAUGGAAUAAUAGAAUAGGACGUGCGGUUCUUUUUUGUUGGUUUCUAGGACCGCCGUAAUGAUUAAUAGGG
rnacentral:ncRNA from 1 species